ACGGCAAAUAAUCAUGGCACAUGGGGCAUUUUCAUAAUUUCGGAUGGCAUGGCGUGAGCUGAUUCGACUGGGAGCACGGUGAGCCCGAUCUACACAUGGUGCAUGGGCACAAUAUCAGGCAGAUGUGCACAAUCCAAAAGCAGAUGUGCGAGCAGCUGCGGAAGUUGGGAGGCUUGAUCAAGUAGCUGCAGAUAGUGGGAAGCUUGAUCAGGCAUGAUC
rnacentral:lncRNA from 1 species